GCGCUCAUAACUCAGUUGGUAGAGUAGCUGCCUUUUAAGCAGAAUGUCGCAGGUUCGAAUCCUGCUGGGCGCA
rnacentral:tRNA from 1 species